AGUCCAUGGUGUGGGCAGCAUCUAAGUAGGUCCUUGUAUCUGUCCCAAGUGUCGUACAUCGACUCAUCGUCCAACUGCAAAAAAGAAGAUAUGUCAUUUCUAAGUUU
rfam:Ricinus communis cultivar Hale ctg_1100012362963, whole genome shotgun sequence.